rnacentral:rRNA from 1 species
UACUCCCCUGUGUGCCUUUAAGGCGUGCGUAGCGAAGCUAACGCGCUAAGUAGACCGCCUGGGGAGUACGGCCGCAAGGUUAAAACUCAAAUGAAUUGACGGGGGCCCGCACAAGCGGCGGAGCAUGUGGUUUAAUUCGAUGCAACGCGAAGAACCUUACCAGGGUUUGACAUCCUGCGAACCUCUUGGAAACGAGAGGGUGCCUUCGGGAGCGCAGUGACAGGUGGUGCAUGGCU